rnacentral:rRNA from 1 species
UACGAAGGGGGCUAGCGUUGUUCGGAAUUACUGGGCGUAAAGCGCACGUAGGCGGAUUUGCCAGUCAGGGGUGAAAUCCCGGGGCUCAACCUCGGAACUGCCUCUGAUACAGCAAGUCUUGAGUCCGGAAGAGGUGGGUGGAAUUCCUAGUGUAGAGGUGAAAUUCGUAGAUAUUCGCAAGAACACCAGUGGCGAAGGCGGCUGUCUGGUCCGGUUCUGACGCUGAGGCGCGAAAGCGUGGGGAGCAAACAGG